AGAGUGGAAGCUGAAUUAGAGUUUGACAGCUUAAAACCACCGCCCGACACGACGAAGAGG
rnacentral:ncRNA from 12 species